UUGGAGGGCAAGUCUGGUGCCAGCAGCCGCGGUAAUUCCAGCUCCAAUAGCGUAUAUUAAAGUUGUUGCAGUUAAAAAGCUCGUAGUUGAACCUCGGGGUCUACCCAUUGGUCAGGCUUAAUUGUCUGCACUGGUGAGAUGGAUCUCUACCUUCUGAGGAACUUUCAUGCCAUUUAUUUGGUGUGAUGGGAAAUCAGGACUGUUACUUUGAAAAAUUAGAGUGUUUAAAGCAGACUAUCGUCUGAAUACAUUAGCAUGGAAUAAUGAAAUAGGACGGACUGAUUCAUUUCGUAGGUUCUAGGAUCACCGUAAUGAUUAAUAGGGAUAGUUGGGGGCA
rnacentral:rRNA from 1 species